AUUGAACGCUGGCGGCAGGCUUAAACAAUGCAAGCGGGGGGGUGGAAGGAAGUUGGCCCUUGGAUCAGCGGGGGGAGGGGUGAGAAAGGCCUAGAAACUGCCUUGGAGGUGGGGGUUACGGCCGGGAAAGGGGGGUUAAACCGGCAUACGCCUGGGGGGGGAAGGUGGGGGUUUUUGGACCUCAAGCUUUCCGGUUAACCUAGGUCGGAUUAGCUAGUUGGUGGGGUAAAGGCCUACCAAGGCGACGAUCCGUAACUGGUCUGAGAGGAUGAUCAGUCACACUGGAACUGAGACACGGUCCAGACUCCUACGGGAGGCAGCAGUGGGGAAUAUUGGACAAUGGGCGAAAGCCUGAUCCAGCCAUGCCGCGUGUGUGAAGAAGGUCUUCGGAUUGUAAAGCACUUUAAGUUGGGAGGAAGGGCAGUAAGUUAAUACCUUGCUGUUUUGACGUUACCAACAGAAUAAGCACCGGCUAACUUCGUG
rnacentral:rRNA from 1 species